rnacentral:lncRNA from 10 species
UCUUUCUUUCUCUCUGUCUCUCUUUCUUUCUUUCCUUUUUUUGAGACAGGUUUUGGCCAUGUUGCCGAGGCUGCUCUCGAACUCCUGGGCUCAAGCAAUCCUCCCACCUCGGCCUCCCAAAGUGCUGGGAUUACAGGUGUGAGGCACUGCACCCACCCAGCCUUAUAGCUAAAUAUCUCUUAGGCUGGUCUAACCAUAGAGAAAUGUAAUCAAUGGCUUUUGGGGUUUACCUGCUAGUCCACUCUUCUUGCAUCCGAAUUGGUUACCAGAACACAGGGUGAUUAAUAAGACAUUAGACCUGGCCCUUACAUUUCCUGGGAGAAGGGCAUGUCCCUUUUAACAAAAACACAACUUUCAUCUUUGGAUUCCCAGGUGAUCCCUAUUUGCAUUUACUGGCGUUUGUCUUUCGUAAGGAAGCAAGAAUGCAAAGCUUUGUAACUCAGCACAGCGAUACUCAAGAGUUUCUGGAUGCUGGGAGGACAUUAGAUAGGUGAUGAGUUCUAAUUAUUCAAUUUUUAAAAAAGACUCAUUUUCUUUGCUCUUUUGAACUCCACUGAGACACUUGAACAGAAAGACAGGGAGCCCUUAUGCUACCUGAAGAGUUAUAUGAAAAGAAGUUUCCAGUGCCAAUACCUCUGCAUUUCCAUUUACCAUGUGACCUGAAAAGCAAUAUAAAGUAACUAUACAGAGAAAAAAGAUCAAAAUGCAACACGCCAAAGUGGUUGUCUUUCUAAGUGGGAAAAUGAUAGGCAACUUAAGUUUUUGUCUUAUUUUUUUCCUAGAUUAUUUACAGUGAAUAUGUACCACAUUUAGAAUAAUAAAAAAUCAUAAAG